UCCCAUGGCUGUGAAAAAAAGGAGAGCUU
rnacentral:piRNA from 1 species